UACGUAGGGGGCGAGCGUUGUCCGGAAUCAUUGGGCGUAAAGCGCGUGUAGGCGGCCCGAUAAGUCUGCUGUGAAAGUCGGGGGCUCAACCCUCGGAUGCCGGUGGAUACUGUCGGGCUUGAGUGCGGAAGAGGCGAGUGGAAUUCCUGGUGUAGCGGUGAAAUGCGCAGAUAUCAGGAGGAACACCAAUUGCGAAGGCAGCUCGCUGGGACGUUACUGACGCUGAUGCGCGAAAGCGUGGGGAGCAAACAGG
rnacentral:rRNA from 1 species